GGAAGGAUCAUUACCGAAUUGUCAAACAUGGGUUGUUGCUGGCCCCCGAACGGGGCAUGUGCACGCUCUGUUUACACAUCCACUCACACCUGUGCACCCUCUGUAGUUCUGUGGACCGGGAGACGUCGUCUUCCUUCCGUAGCUCUACGUCUUUACACACACACCGUAGCGAUGUCUCAUGGAAUGUUUUUUCGCGUUUAACGCAAUACAAUACAACUUUCAGCAACGGAUCUCUUGGCUCUCGCAUCGAUGAAGAACGCAGCGAAAUGCGAUAAGUAAUGUGAAUUGCAGAAUUCAGUGAAUCAUCGAAUCUUUGAACGCACCUUGCGCCCCUUGGUUAUUCCUCGGAGCAUGCCUGUUUGAGUAUCAUGAACACCUCAACUCUCAUGGUCUUCCAUGAUGAGCUUGGACUUUGGGGGUUUGCUGGCCUUGUGGCCGGCUCCUCUCAAAUGAAUCAGCUUGCCAGUGUUUGGCGGCGUCACGGGUGUGAUAACUAUCUACGCUUGUGGUCGUCCACCAGGUAACCCUCAGCGAUGAAGGUUCAUUGGGGCUCAUAAACGUCUCUCCCCAGCGAGGACAACUUUUGAACGUUCGAUCUCAAAUCAGGUAGGACUACCCGCUGAACUUAAGCAUAUCAAUAAGCGGAGGAAAA
rnacentral:rRNA from 1 species